UUAGAUAAAAGGUAUGGAUAAAAUAGGGAAGAAGGUCAGCUUAUUAGAACAAGGUUAAAACAGGUUAGAAAAAAGGGCUUAUUAGAACAGGUAAGAAAAGGGCUGGUUAGGAAAGGUACGGUUACGGCAGGUCAAAGGCUAAGAAACUCUUCGCGUGCUUUAGCAUUAGAUGCGAGACUGAAUCCAUGUUGUAUAUUUGAAUUAGGUUGACCUCCUUGUUCUCUCAUGGUACAAUCCUCUUCCCGCUGAGCCCCCCCUUUUCUCCUCGUCCCACA
rnacentral:lncRNA from 1 species